rnacentral:rRNA from 1 species
UACGUAGGAGACGAGCGUUGUCCGGAAUUACUGGGCGUAAAGCGCGUGUAGGCGGGGCGGCACGCCGGGGUGUGAAAGCCCUCAGCUCAACUGAGGAAGUGCGCCCGAAACUGCAGAGCUUGAGUACCGGAGAGGAUGGCGGAAUUCCCCAAGUAGAGGUGAAAUUCGUAGAUAUGGGGAGGAACACCGGUGGCGAAGGCGGCCAUCUGGACGGAUACUGACGCUGAGACGCGGAAA